CAGCGACGAUGGAGAACAGUCACCCUGACGACAUGAGCAGCCUUGUUGAAGAGAAGAGAUUCCAGACAAUGGAAUAUCCACUCCCAGGGGAGAGUCUGAAAGGCUGAGGUGUGUUGGAGCUGGUACUACCCCAGUCCUCAAGGCCAUUUCUUUUCCUGUGGUGCUACAGUACAAUCCAUCUCUGUAUUGACAACAUCUCCCAGAGUAGGUAUGAAAUGAAUGCUCCACAUGGCAUUUCAAGACUGAAGCAUGGAUGAUGGGUACAUGGAUGUGUCUCAAGACUGAAAAAAAAAUAAAACAACACGGAAACACUGCUGGAAGCAACGGAAUGGAUUGGAAAGAACUGGUUUGGGUUACAGUCUAAGAUGGGAGGUUUGUGUUUGGAGUCACCCCAGGAUGCAGCUUGCAGGUUAAAUAACAGUCCUGGCAGACACCUCUUCCCCUGGCCAGACCAGCACAUCCCCUUAUUCCGGCUGAGGGGCUGUGGCAGGUGUCCUGCCCUUUGGCUGUGAGCAGAUUAAUCUCCCUGAAGCCACCCCAAUGGUUAUUCAGCUCCAAGAGCUAUUGCUGAAGGCUGCUCUAUGACAAAGCUGGGCUGCAUGAAACCAGCUGAGUUAGUGUUUGCAGCAGCUAUUUACCUGUGGAUGAUAUUCACAGCACUGCAUUU